GUGGGGAAUAUUGGACAAUGGGGGGAACCCUGAUCCAGCCAUGCCGCGUGUGUGAAGAAGGCCUUUUGGUUGUAAAGCACUUUAAGCGAGGAGGAGGCUACCGAGAUUAAUACUCUUGGAUAGUGGACGUUACUCGCAGAAUAAGCACCGGCUAACUCUGUGCCAGCAGCCGCGGUAAUACAGAGGGUGCAAGCGUUAAUCGGAUUUACUGGGCGUAAAGCGCGCGUAGGUGGCCAAUUAAGUCAAAUGUGAAAUCCCCGAGCUUAACUUGGGAAUUGCAUUCGAUACUGGUUGGCUAGAGUAUGGGAGAGGAUGGUAGAAUUCCAGGUGUAGCGGUGAAAUGCGUAGAGAGCUGGAGGAAUACCGAUGGCGAAGGCAGCCAUCUGGCCUAAUACUGACACUGAGGUGCGAAAGCAUGAGGAGCAAACAGGAUUAGAAACCCUGGUAGUCC
rnacentral:rRNA from 1 species